CGAUCAACCUUCCUCUUCUCCAGGUACUCGGGAGCAUGGUGGGCGCGGCGUCCACUGCUACGACCUUCACUCAUGAGCAUAUCUGCAAGAUGUGAAUCUGACUGCAGCAUCCUGACUCCAUUAAAAGUAAUAUAAUACCUUCUGGUUUACUCUGGCCAAGCUCCAUGACAAGUUGACGGGCAUGUGCAGAGUAUCCACUCCAGUCCUUCUCGAAAUGCUUGACAAUGUUACCGAGAAGUAAGUGAUACUUGAGAAUGCGCUGUACUGGCUUGAGGAGAUAGGAACCUAAAGGUAGUGUGUGGCUGAGUGCCAGCUGCCGCUCACGGAAGGCUCUCACCGAAGCUUCCCCUCGCAUCAACUCGUGAACCACAGGCACGAGCAAGAGUAAUGGAUACAACAAGGUUAGUACUGGCCAGUGUUUGGGUAGACAGAUGAAAGAGAAUGGCUCCUCCCACUGCAAUAUUCAUUUCUGUUGAGCACAAUACAAACAUCAAGAAAGUGUGGCUUUGUGCACUUGACACGAGUGAUAAGAAGCUUAUAAGUUUCGAGGUGAUUCACUUAUUCACCAGUUGAUCAAGACAUUGAUCAUCUUCAUAGUGUGAUUAACGUUGAUACAGAGUUACCUGUAAUUGCCACGAUUUUGACAGCCUUGUCGCACUUUGUUCAUUAUAACGGUUUUAGGUUCAAGGAUGAGUAUAAAUAAUUGUCUGGGCUAGUUAUAGGCUCAUCUCUCAGUGUAGUACUUGCCAAUUUAUAUAUGGAGGACCUAGAAUCCAGAUAGAUCCUCAAUAACUUCCCCAAGUCAGUUACAUGCAUGUGGUACGUUGAUAUUUUGAUCAUUAUAUCCAAGAAUCUAGAUGGAGGUGCUGCUUCAGAAAAUUUUUAGCCAGUUUUAAUAUUGUGUAAAACAAGUAUAUGUAUAU